UUGGGGCGUGCAGUUCCCCCAGUUCAGCACUGGGCAGCCAGCACUGGGGGGAGCCCCUCGCCCUCUCCCACAGCCCCCCUGGCAGGGAUGUGCCGUGGCCCCCCGGGCCAAGUGCCACCGCGGGGUUUAAGCACCUGGGACCAAGGAAAUGGCACAAAACUGGGGCUGAACCCCGAGCGGAGCCACCCCCCAGCGCAAGGGGCUGCAGCAAUCCCCAAACCAUCACCUGGCACCGAACCCCUGCCCCACGGCUCUGGAGUCACCCCGGGGUGUCCCCACACCGGGGACCCAUCCGUGCCCCUUCCCCGGCACAGGCAGAGUUCAGCGGUGACAAAUCCCGGCCCCAAGCUGCCCGUCAAGGACAGCGGUGGCACGAGCUGUGUGCCAGUGCCAGAGCACAGCAGGUGCCAAUCUCCCGCUCCAGGGACCCCCCAGCAGCCUUUCAGAACACCCCAGUACCCAGCAGGGUGAACCCCAGGGUCACUGUGCCGGAGCAGCUCUGGGUGUACCCCAGUUACCCCAAAACCCAGCUGCAUUUCAGGCGUGUGCAGCCCCUGUGUGAAGCCACCACUUCCUGGGCCUGGGAGGAGGAAGAGGAGGAAGAGGAGGGAGGCAGAGCCAUCACUGUUGAUGCCAAGGGUCUGGGCUGGAGCUGAGUGGGGAGAGCUGGGCUGGGCUGGGGGGCACAGCCCCAUUCCAGGCACGAAGCCACCCCAUCCCUCCCCCUGCUGCUCCAGCUCUCCCCUUCCCCAGCCUCAUUAAUUAAACCCGAGCGCUUAAUUACAACCUGCUGAGUCCCGUGGCUGCUUCCCGGAGCCUGCUGACACCGGGGGGCCAAUCCCGACCCCCCCAGAUCCCUGUAGGAAAGGUGGGAUGCAGGGAACAGGGGGAGCAUCCCGCAGCCUGCAGGAUUUGGGUUGUGGCUCGUCGGCGGCAUGAAGGGAUCUUCACACAGCGCUCAGGAAAGAGCAAACCCAAGCACGGGAGCUGGGAAAGUCAUCCCUGGGGAUCCUGGCCUCCCCAAGGAGAGAUGGGGACAGAUGGCUCCGCUCUGGGGUUAUCCCUGAGCUGCUGGCAGGUCCCUCAAGGGCUGAAGAGGGACGGGGAUGCUCAGCCUGAUGCCUGGUGAGCUCCCGGUGGCAAUAAAAAAUAAUCGAGGUAAAUGAGGUGAAGGCUGGUGGCAGCAUGAGAUGGAGGGGAGAUCCAGUGUCCCACCGUGCUUCCCCACCUGCUCACCCACCCGGGGGUCCCCAGGGCAGGGAGGUGCCCACCGGGGUGCCCUGACCCUCCUGGCCUCCUGCCCACAGGUCCCCGCCGGCCCAUGAAGUGACCCAGGCGGGUGGCACAGCCCCUGCUCCUGCCGUAGCCACCACUGCCACACCUGGCACUGAGGUCUGCUGGCCAUGGGCAACCUGAUAAAGGUAUUGGGCAAAGAUUUAGAAAACUGUCCUCAUUUUUUCCUGGAUUUUGAAAGGCACAGCUCAGAGCAGGAGCGGAAGGAGCGCGGUGACCUCUGCUCGCCCCAGCCCCGGUCCCAGUUCCACCCCCAGCUGGGACAGGCCGUGCACAGCUCCCCACACCACCUCUGACUCCGGCACCCCCCAAAACACCCAGAGCUGGGGUCACACGGCCCCCACUCCCACGGCGAGGGACCUUCCUGCUCCUCCUGGCUCCUUUGAGGCAGCACCAACUUUUCCUGCCUCCAGCCCCCUCCACAUCCCCCCGGCACAGGUUCCGGGGGCUCCCCAGGACCCCUCAUUUCGGGGCCGGCUCUGCGCUAGGGUAAGGGUUUGGCUGUAGCCAAGACUCCAGGGAUUUCGGGGGCUUCCCGGCGGCUUCCCCACCCUUCGCUCCUCCCUCUCCAUCACCCCAUCCGCCAGCGCUCAUCACCAUCGGGGGGGAAGAGGCUGCACCCGGGGCCGGGAGCAGCCGCGGGGUCACCCCCGGAGCCCCCCGAGCCCCCGGGGAGCAGCGGGGGGAGGACGGGGCUCCGGCCACCGCCGCUGCCCGCAGCCCAGCACCUCUUCCCCGGGCUCCACCUCACCAUCAUGCUUUUUUCCUCUUGUUUCUUCUCUUGCAGGUUUCACAUGGGGAACCUUCUAAAAGUGUUGACUUAUAACGAACUUGACCAAGGCCCUAAUUUUUUCCUUGACUUUGAAAGUGAGAUGGGAUUUUUAUUUUCCGUUUUUGUUUCGUACUUCUCCUGAGUUCCACAUCCACACCAUUUUGAGUUCUUUGUCCCCGUCGCCCAUCGCAUCGCGCCCAUCCCAGACGUCCUCCCCCACCUUUGCCAUCCGGGGGUGUCCCCGGGGAGGGGGGCCAGGCCCGUGGCCGGGGGCUGUCGCUCCGCACCUCUCCCCCGGGGCACUUGGCAGCCUCUCGGGGCCGAGGGGGCU